rnacentral:snoRNA from 1 species
AACAUUCAGAUUCCUUACUUCUCAGCUCUAAAUAUUGGUCUGAGUGGCUAAUAAGGGAGGAAAAGUAAAACUAAAGUGGAUUUGGAGUCUUUAAUAACAUACAUGUUCAUUUCAAACACAU